CCUACGGGAUGCAGCAGUGGGGAAUUUUGGACAAUGGGCGCAAGCCUGAUCCAGCAAUGCCGCGUGCAGGAUGAAGGCCUUCGGGUUGUAAACUGCUUUUGUACGGAACGAAAAGCCCUGGGUUAAUACCCUGGGGUCAUGACGGUACCGUAAGAAUAAGCACCGGCUUACUACGUGCCAGCAGCCACGGUAAUACGUAGGGUGCAAGCGUUAAUCGGAAUUACUGGGCGUAAAGCGUGCGCAGGCGGUUUUGUAAGACAGAGGUGAAAUCCCCGGGCUCAACCUGGGAACUGCCUUUGUGACUGCAAGGCUAGAGUACGGCAGAGGGGGAUGGAAUUCCGCGUGUAGCAGUGAAAUGCGUAGAUAUGCGGAGGAACACCGAUGGCGAAGGCAAUCCCCUGGGCCUGUAUUGACGCUCAUGCACGAAAGCGUGGGGAGCAAACAGGAUUAGAUACCCGUGUAGUC
rnacentral:rRNA from 1 species